rnacentral:rRNA from 1 species
UGGGGAAUAUUGGGCAAUGGGCGCAAGCCUGACCCAGCAACGCCGCGUGAAGGAAGAAGGCUUUCGGGUUGUAAACUUCUUUUCUGAGGGACGAUAGUGACGGUACCUCAGGAAUAAGCCACGGCUAACUACGUGCCAGCAGCCGCGGUAAUACGUAGGUGGCAAGCGUUAUCCGGAUUUACUGGGUGUAAAGGGCGUGUAGGCGGGACUGCAAGUCAGAUGUGAAAACCAGGGGCUCAACUCCUGGCCUGCAUUUGAAACUGUAGUUCUUGAGUGUUGGAGGGGCAGGCGGAAUUCCGUGUGUAGCGGUGAAAUGCGUAGAUAUACGGAGGAACACCAGUGGCGAAGGCGGCCUGCUGGACAAUAACUGACGCUGAGGCGCGAAAGCGUGGGGAGCAAACAGGAUUAGAUACCC